rfam:Ictidomys tridecemlineatus contig010979, whole genome shotgun sequence.
AGGGAUAUAGCUCAGUGGUAGAGCACUUGCCUCACAUGCAUGGGGCCCUGGGUUCAAUCCUCAGCACCACAU